rnacentral:tRNA from 1 species
GCGGGUGUAAUUCAAUGGUAGAAUGUGAGCUUCCCAAGCUUAAAACGUGGGUUCGAUUCCCAUCACCCGCU